AGCUCCUAUAACUGGAUGAGAGAAACAACGAGCAGGACUGUCAUCCCCGAGCCACUGAGAGUUCCCCCGGCCUGUGACAUUGAGUUCCUGGCCGACCUUGAGCCAUGAAGAUCCUUUACCUGCUCUUUGCUGUUUUCUUUUUGGUGCUCCAGGGUGCGCCAGAAUUCUCCCAGGCUCAGAAUUCCAGAAUGCGAUGCAUAAACCGGGGGGGGUUCUGUUUCUUUCGGAAAUGUCCCCUGAAUUGGAGACCCAUUGGAGGAUGCGGUAACGGGUUCGUUUGCUGUCGAAGUCAAUUUAUUGACUGAUUGUCUAAGCAGGAUCUCCAGGAAUCUGGCAGAUAGCCACUUGCUUCUAAAAUCCUCAGAUCCUGCUCAAUGGAACCCUGAAGUGCUGUUUAUCCGGGCUGUAAAGAACCUUGUGAGCUGGAGAAAUUCCAGAAAGGAGCCCUUG